CACGUAGGGGGCAAGCGUUGUCCGGAAUUAUUGGGCGUAAAGCGCUUGUAGGCGGCUUGUUAAGUUCCGUGUGAAAUCCCCAGGCUUAACCUGGGAAGUGCGCGGAAAACUGGCGAGCUUGAGUGCCGGAGAGGGUCGCGGAAUUCCCGGUGUAGAGGUGAAAUUCGUAGAUAUCGGGAGGAACACCAGUGGCGAAGGCGGCGACCUGGACGGACACUGACGCUGAGACGCGAAAGCGUGGGGAGCAAACAGG
rnacentral:rRNA from 1 species